GAUGAACGCUAGCUACAGGCUUAACACAUGCAAGUCGAGGGGAAACGGCAUCGAAAGCUUGCUUUUGAUGGGCGUCGACCGGCGCACGGGUGAGUAACGCGUAUCCAACCUGCCCAUCACUUGGGAAUAACCUUGCGAAAGUAAGACUAAUGCCCAAUGACAUCCCACGAAGGCAUCCGAAUGGGAUUAAAGAUUUAUCGGUGAUGGAUGGGGAUGCGUCUGAUUAGCUUGUUGGCGGGGUGACGGCCCACCAAGGCAACGAUCAGUAGGGGUUCUGAGAGGAAGGUCCCCCACAUUGGAACUGAGACACGGUCCAAACUCCUACGGGAGGCAGCAGUGAGGAAUAUUGGUCAAUGGGCGAGAGCCUGAACCAGCCAAGUAGCGUGCAGGAUGACGGCCCUAUGGGUUGUAAACUGCUUUUGUAAGGGAAUAAAGUGGGUCACGUGUGACUUUUUGCAUGUACCUUAUGAAUAAGGACCGGCUAAUUCCGUG
rnacentral:rRNA from 1 species